UCCCUGGUGGUCCAGUGGUUAAGAUUCUGUGCUUCCAAUGCAGAGGGCAUGGGUUCAAUUCUUGGUCAGGGAA
rnacentral:tRNA from 1 species